UUCUAGCUUGCUAGAAGAUGACGAGCGGCGGACGGGUGAGUAAUACUUAGGAAUCUACCUAGUAGUGGGGGAUAGCUCGGGGAAACUCGAAUUAAUACCGCAUACGACCUACGGGAGAAAGGGGGCAGUUUACUGCUCUCGCUAUUAGAUGAGCCUAAGUCGGAUUAGCUAGAUGGUGGGGUAAAGGCCUACCAUGGCGACGAUCUGUAGCUGGUCUGAGAGGAUGAUCAGCCACACCGGAACUGAGACACGGUCCGGACUCCUACGGGAGGCAGCAGUGGGGAAUAUUGGACAAUGGGGGCAACCCUGAUCCAGCCAUGCCGCGUGUGUGAAGAAGGCCUUUUGGUUGUAAAGCACUUUAAGCAGUGAAGAAGACUCCGUGGUUAAUACCCACGGACGAUGACAUUAGCUGCAGAAUAAGCACCGGCUAACUCUGUGCCAGCAGCCGCGGUAAUACAGAGGGUGCAAGCGUUAAUCGGAAUUACUGGGCGUAAAGCGAGCGUAGGUGGCUUGAUAAGUCAGAUGUGAAAUCCCCGGGCUUAACCUGGGAACUGCAUCUGAUACUGUUAGGCUAGAGUAGGUGAGAGGAAGGUAGAAUUCCAGGUGUAGCGGUGAAAUGCGUAGAGAUCUGGAGGAAUACCGAUGGCGAAGGCAGCCUUCUGGCAUCAUACUGACACUGAGGCUCGAAAGCGUGGGUAGCAAACAGGAUUAGAUACCCUGGUAGUCCACGCCGUAAACGAUGUCUACUAGUCGUUGGGUCCCUUGAGGACUUAGUGACGCAGCUAACGCAAUAAGUAGACCGCCUGGGGAGUACGGCCGCAAGGUUAAAACUCAAAUGAAUUGACGGGGGCCCGCACAAGCGGUGGAGCAUGUGGUUUAAUUCGAUGCAACGCGAAGAACCUUACCUGGUCUUGACAUAUCUAGAAUCCUGC
rnacentral:rRNA from 1 species